rnacentral:rRNA from 1 species
AUUGAACGCUGGCGGCAUGCCUUACACAUGCCAGUCGAACGGCAGCGCGGACUUCGGUCUGGCGGCGAGUGGCGAACGGGUGAGUAAUACAUCGGAACGUACCCUGUUGUGGGGGAUAACUAGUCGAAAGAUUAGCUAAUACCGCAUACGACCUGAGGGUGAAAGUGGGGGACCGGAAACGGCCUCAUGCAGCAGGAGCGGCCGAUGUCUGAUUAGCUAGUUGGUGGGGUAAAGGCCCACCAAGGCGACGAUCAGUAGCUGGUCUGAGAGGACGAUCAGCCACACUGGGACUGAGACACGGCCCAGACUCCUACGGGAGGCAGCAGUGGGGAAUUUUGGACAAUGGGGGCAACCCUGAUCCAGCAAUGCCGCGUGUGUGAAGAAGGCCUUCGGGUUGUAAAGCACUUUUGUCCGGAAAGAAAUCGCGCUGGUUAAUACCUGGCGUGGAUGACGGUACCGGAAGAAUAAGCACCGGCUAACUACGUG